UUCUGAACGGAACAUUCUAAGGGCUCUAAAGGGACAUUCCUCUCCAGGGGGACCCUGAAGAACUGGGGUUCUCUUUCCAGCCCCAAGAAGCGCAGCUGGCAGGUCUGCUGGCGGGGUGCAGAGCAGCGGGGGAGGAGAGGAGCAGGCAGGCCGGGGCCGCCCGCCCAGCAGCCGGAGUUUGAGCCUGGCCAGGCGCAGCUGCUGCGGCCUUAUUUGCAACAAGCCUUGCCCGAGGGAUGAACCCCAGUGGGUCCAGUUGUAGCCGUCCUCUGCCAGAGCCUUGCUUUCCCAGGCUCCUCUGCCGCUGGUGGUAGCCACGUGACCCAGUCCCAGCCAAUGAGAUGUCUCCCUGCUGCCCUGCUUGAGCUGCUAUGAGGUCAGGAGCCCUGGGGCAGUGGCAGCCGUUUUGUGACCAGGAAGAAACUGGCAAGAGGACUAAAAGUCAACAUACUGAGGGUGACUGAGCAGACAUAUGGAAGGAAGGGAAGGGGCUGGGGAGACCCAAACCAUCUGGAGUGACCCUGCCAGGGGCCAAGGAGAGGGGUUGAAGAGAAGCAGCUUCUCUCUGUGCCCCGUGUGUGCCGCACAGAGCAUCCUGUGGGCUGUGCUGGCCCGUGUCCCACGCUGCCAACACACUCACGCAGGCCAGUCCCGUUCUGUAGAGCUGGGGAGGCUGGAACCCCAAGAACAGCAGUCACAUAAACACUGCACCAGAAUCAGA